rnacentral:rRNA from 1 species
AGAGGGUGCGAGCGUUAAUCGGAAUUACUGGGCGUAAAGCGAGUGUAGGUGGCUCAUUAAGUCACAUGUGAAAUCCCCGGGCUUAACCUGGGAACUGCAUGUGAUACUGGUGGUGCUAGAAUAUGUGAGAGGGAAGUAGAAUUCCAGGUGUAGCGGUGAAAUGCGUAGAGAUCUGGAGGAAUACCGAUGGCGAAGGCAGCUUCCUGGCACAAUAUUGACACUGAGAUUCGAAAGCGUGGGUAGCAAACAGGAUUAGAUACCCUGGUAGUCCCACGCCCGUAAACGAUGUCUACUAGCCGUUGGGGUCCUUGAGACUUUAGUGGCGCAGUCAACGCGAUAAGUAGACCGCCUGGGGAGUACGGCCGCAAGGUUA